AACCUUUUGUGCAAUGGAAAGGUUUCAUGGAGGUUAUUCAUUGAAUCAUCAAUGCCAAUAAGGAACCUUUAUUUAUUAUUAUAAACAAAAAAA